UUCAGCGUUGAAGAUCCAGAUUACUAGGGGCUAGAGCUGGAAACGAUGUCGCCAUGUGAGAAGCACGGGAAGGCAUAUGAGAGGCUUGUCGCAUUUGAAGGAAUAGACACAGGGAGAAGGUUCUUAGCAUGUGCAGAGCCGGAAGGGCAGAAUUGUGGGUUUGUUGAAUGGGUUGAUCACCAGUGGCCCCCAACAAUGCAAAAUGCAUUUUUGAAGCUGUGGGCAAUGGUUGAAGAUAGCAGGAGUGCUAGGGUGAAUGAUAAUCUUGAAAGUUCUUUCACUAUCCACCAUCUGACAGAAGAGAAGAACAAGUUGGAGGCCAACUAUGACAAGCUAGUCCAAGAUGUGCAUGAGCUUAUGAGCUUCCAGGAGGAGAGGGUGGUGGAUUUCAGACAUCCACAGUCUGCCAUUACAUAUCAGCAUGAAUGCAGAAGUGAACUGGUGGCUGAUACGAAGGCACAGAUGGCAAAGAGAGAUGCAGAGUCUGAGAAGCUUAAGCAGAAUUAUGAAGUGCUACUGAACCUGACAAGAGCUCAAGCUACAGUCAUCCAGAACCUAAAGUUGAAGCAUAUUACAGACAAGCAAUUUCUUAGUGAAGCUAAGAUGAACUUGGAGUUGAAGAAUGCAGAGCUCACAAAGUCUGAGGAGAAGCUCACCCAAGAUAAGCUAGAGUUGAAGUUUCAGGUUUCAGAUUUGCUUAAGGGAAAGGAAAAGCAUGGUGAAGAGAUGGUGCAGCUAGAGCUUCAGUUUGCUGAGCUGAUGAAGGUAGAGGAGAAGCUGAAGGAGAAGAUCAAGGGGAUCCAGGCCAUCUUAGAGAAGUGA
rnacentral:rRNA from 1 species